GAAAAUCAGAUUGUGCCCUCUAAUGCCAAGCUAUGGAUAUAGACUGCUAAUGUUGUGUGCAAAAUUGACCUUAUAGGUCACCCGCCAUGGUAACUGUCCUCUUUGAUACACUUUUUGCCUGCUAGGUUUUUUCAGAAUUCAUUAAUUUGCCCCAGGUCACUUGGGAUGUUGUUAACUGUAUUCUUUUCAUAUUUUCAUAGGGGAAAAAUGUCAUACUGGAUGAGUUAGACUGAAGUGUUCUUCUCCCCUCUUCUGCGAUUAUCAGAGGAGAGAACUCUUCUUUGCAGCCAGGCCAAACUCAAGAAGUUGGGGAGACCAGGCAAGCUCAGGCUUGUGACCGUGUAACUCGCUCUUCUUGCAUAAUCUUCUCUAGUCAAGAAGUUCAAAAUAAUGCUUUCCAGAGCAGAUCUCAUCACCAGUUUCACUGGAUUUUGUGCGGGAAUGAACAAAAUUCUUGCUGUUUCUGUAAGUGGAACAUAGCUCCCUUUCUUUGGCCCUGGUGA
rnacentral:lncRNA from 1 species